rnacentral:rRNA from 1 species
GGACAACCUACCCUUGAGACAGGUAUAAACCCGGGAAACUGGGUAUAAUCCCUGAUAGAUCUCGGUCGCUGGAAUGCUCCGAGAUCCAAAGCUCCGGCGCUCAAGGAUGGGUCUGCGGCCUAUCAGGUAGUAGUGGGUGUAGCGUACCUACUAGCCUACGACGGGUACGGGUUGUGAGAGCAAGAGCCCGGAGAUGGAUUCUGAGACACGAAUCCAGGCCCUACGGGGUGCAGCAGGCGCGAAAACUUUACAAUGCCGGCAACGGCGAUAAGGGAACCUCGAGUGCCAGGUUACAAAUCUGGCUGUCGUGAUGCCUAAAAAGCAUUGCAUAGCAAGGGCCGGGCAAGACCGGUGCCAGCCGCCGCGGUAACACCGGCGGCUCGAGUGGUAACCGUUAUUAUUGGGUCUAAAGGGUCUGUAGCCGGCCGGAUAAGUCUCUUGGGAAAUCCAGCAGCUCAACUGUUGGGCUUUCAGGAGAUACUGUUCGGCUCGAGGCCGGGAGAGGUGAGAGGUACUUCA